GAUGAACGCUGGCGGUAUGCUUAACACAUGCAAGUCGUACGAAGAUCUUUGAUCUUAGUGGCGGACGGGUGAGUAACACGUGAGAAUCUGCCCUUAGGAAGAGGAUAACAGCUGGAAACGGUUGCUAAUACUCUAUACGCCGAGAGGUAAAAGGAUUUAUCCACCUUAGGAAGAGCUCGCGUCUGAUUAGCUUGUUGGUAAGGUAAUGGCUUACCAAGGCGACGAUCAGUAGCUGGUUUGAGAGGACGACCAGCCACACUGGGACUGAGACACGGCCCAGACUCCUACGGGAGGCAGCAGUGGGGAAUUUUCCGCAAUGGGCGAAAGCCUGACGGAGCAAUACCGCGUGAGGGAUGAAAGCCUGUGGGUUGUAAACCUCUUUUUUCAGGGAGGAAUAAAUGACGUGUACCUGAAGAAUAAGCAUCGGCUAACUCCGUG
rnacentral:rRNA from 1 species